UCCUACGGGGGGCUGCAGUGGGGAAUCUUAGACAAUGGGGGAAACCCUGAUCUAGCCAUGCCGCGUGAUCGAUGAAGGCCUUAGGGUUGUAAAGAUCUUUCAGUGGGGAAGAUAAUGACUGUACCCACAGAAGAAGCCCCGGCUAACUCCGUGCCAGCAGCCGCGGUAAUACGGAGGGGGCUAGCGUUGUUCGGAAUUACUGGGCGUAAAGCGCACGUAGGCGGGACAGAAAGUCAGAGGUGAAAUCCCAGGGCUCAACCUUGGAACUGCCUUUGAAACUCCUGUUCUUGAGGUCGAGAGAGGUGAGUGGAAUUCCGAGUGUAGAGGUGAAAUUCGUAGAUAUUCGGAGGAACACCAGUGGCGAAGGCGGCUCACUGGCUCGAUACUGACGCUGAGGUGCGAAAGCGUGGGGAGCAAACAGGAUUAGAUACCCGAGUAGUCCG
rnacentral:rRNA from 1 species